GUUGUACAUGCUAAUUGCGUGUUUUUUGUAUUUGUUCAGUUCAGCUGCUAGCAGCAGCUAAUUUGCAAUAAAGUGACAGGAACCCCUAUAACAUCUCAUUCUGAAAGGAGCUCAAAAUAGACUAAAAUUUAAUUAUAAUGAUUUUGUGCAAUAAAAUUGAAUGAACAUGUAUUUUUAUAGUGCACAGACCUACCCUAACCUGUCCAGGGAAGCAUAAAAGGUCGUCUUUAAUGAACAGUGUUUAAAGACAGAUGAACAAAGUGAGGGGGAAAGCAGGAGAAGGGAUUGAGACGGGUUGGGGAGUGGUACUUUGAGUCAUCAGUGAUGCUCAGACCUUCACAGUAUUAUGCUGAUCCCUCUCCCUCGCCCACACUCCCUCUCUCACUCUGAGCUGCUCGUUGUGCAUCAGCCAGACUCGGGUGCGUGUCCACAAAGAUGAGGAGCGCACACUCUGCGUGAUGGAGCGAGCCCUCGCCCACCUGGCUGCUCACGCGCGUGUCGGCGUUCGGGAGGAGGAUUCCUCCACUGAGUGUCAGCCUCACACCGGUCCCGCCUCUCUUCUUCUUCUUCUGUCUUUUCUGUUUUUGUUUUUUGUUUUUCCUCCCAGAGACUGGUCAGAUCCUCUCCUCCAUGUCUGGCUCUCCACCUGGCCUCCAUGAGUUUAAUUGAGGACAAGCCAUUCCUCCCUGGAAGGAGCGAUGUGGAUGCCAAUCAGGAAUGAAACGACGGGUUCUCCUGCGCGGCCGGCAGCCACUGCAUGGUUUAUGCUUGGUGUCACCAUCUGGAGGUCAGCGCUCUUCUUUCACUGAAGGAAUCUAAUUAACUGGACAUCAUAGCUGCUCUGUCAUGAAAUGUGCCUCUGCAGACCGUCGGUGGAGUUCAGCUGCUCUCCCUCAUUUUCACAGACAAAUUGAUGAGUUUUAGCUUCAUUUUGUUCCUCGAAUCUCAAACACACUUUGCUUAAAUCUGUCUUAAAAUCAGGUCAUUUCAAAGACUAUUUACUUUCAAAGAGUAAAUACAAGAAGUGGUUUCCAAAUGGUGAGGAGAAAAAGGCCAGAUGUGAAGAAGUAAUUAGUCCUUCUUCUUAAAUUGUGAAUUAAAUGUGAUUAGAUGAAGUAAAUCCUUUGCUUUGAAGCUGAUUGACAACAUAAAAUACGAGAAACUUAUCAAACUCUGAUCUAAAGAAACUCAGGAAUAUGAGCAAAUGUUUUUGAUGAUCGCAAACGCUGAAGCAGAAAUGACAUUUUUCACAUUAAUUCAUACAAACCUUUCCCCCUAAUAACUAAAUAAAAAAUUGCUUUUGUAUUUGUUUAUUUAUUUUUGUCAAAAUAGGAAAUAUUUGUAAAUGGGAAAACACCUUUUUAACUUAUAAUCUUACAAAAAAAACUGUCUGAAAAGUGAACUUCAUCACAAAGAAUCAGUAAGAUUUCUGUAUUUGUACCUAAAAUAUGAUUUAUUAAUAAUUAACUCAUAUAAAAUAAAACAUUUAAUCAAAAAUAUGUACACUGGAAAAGCUUAUAAACAUGACCUGGAAAUUAUUAACAUUAUAAUUUAGAAUUUAAUUUAUUGUUACUGUCACUUUUAUUAACGACUUAAUUAGACAAAAUGAGAUGAAAACACAGAUAAAAAUACUUUAUGUGUACAUCAAAAAAAUCUAAUUAAAAUUCUAAAUCUUAUUAAAAGAAAUUUGCUUUGACAGGAAAAAAAGGAAAUGGUUCAGGAACUUCACAAAAGGUUUUGCAGAACAUAAAACAUCAACAAAAUACAUUUAAUAAAAAUCAUAUAAUCCGGCUAAGCCACAUUCGAGGCUGAAGAUUUAAUCUGAGCAGAUUUGGCAGAAAAUAAUCCAGAAACUCUGAAGAAAACCUUAAAUUCAUUGUCAGGUUUUUAACACACCUUGUUAUUCUGAUUAGCAGAGUAAAUCCACAGGCAGCAGCAGCUUUAUGGAGAAUCUAUUCAUAACAUGAAUAAAAAAACUAAAAUGUCACAUUUACAUAAAC